AUUUAUGUUUUCAUUUAUUAUUUUUGUAUAUAUAAUACAACUUCUAGUGGAAGGAAAUAACAGUCGGAUUUUCCAAAGCAAAAGAGAAAAGCAUAUUAUUAAUGUGGAGUGUGAACUUUUUGAUGUCCUUAGUACGACUGUAGGGUAUUUGAUUCUACUACUUAUUGUUCUUUCUUCCAUGGUAAGUGAUCAUUCUUAUACAUUUUCUUCCUCUUUUUCUUUCUUUCUUUCUUUCUUUGUUUUCUUCUCUCUCUUUCUCUUGUUUUUGUUAAAGAUGCACUCCAAUAAGCCCAAGAAGGAAAGAUCUGUUGCCGGAAGAAGUUUAAUCAAUUCGGUCUUUGAUUGGUCUUUUAAAGAUGUUAUCAACAAUAAUCUCUAUAAAAACAAGGUGAAGAAGAUUCCCCAAACAUUCUCCUCAAAAACAGAAUACUUAAACUCAUUCACUGCUCCUCUUAUGGAGGAAACACAUGCUGACUUGUUAUCAAGUGUGAAAUCAGUGUCUCACUCCCUUUGCUGUGAGAUAAGGUCUGUCACUAGGACUGAUGGAUAUAAGCCUCCCAAAGACUUGUUUUACAAACUUGUACUGAAAAGUAGUGAAAACAAGAAUGACCAUAUGACCUAUGAACCUCAACAUGGAGACCUUAUUGCCAUAACCAGUGUUAAACCAAGAAGCAUUGCUGAUUUGGAAAGGUCUUAUGUUGUUGCUUCGGUUCAACAUGUGAAGGAUGAUCUCGUUCUCACAGUGCUUUCAUCGAAGCCUCUAGAAAACCACAUGGACAGGAAGAAGAAUCCAAGUCUUUUUGCUGUUUAUCUCAUCAAUAUGAUUACUAACAUUCGAAUAUGGCAAGCACUGACUUCUGAUCCUAAAGACCGCAAUAUGAAGAUCGUUGAGAAUGUUCUAAGGCCUGAAUUUCCUGAUGCAGAAAUGUGUAUGAAUUGUCGCUCGAAACAAAAUUGCAGCGCUGCAUAUUUAGAUGCAAAGAUUGGAAUUCAGUCAUCUGAGUUGAAUGAAUCCCAACAGAAGGCGGUUUUAAGCUGCGUUAAGACAAGUGAAUGUACUCAUAAGAAUACUGUGAAGCUUAUAUGGGGGCCUCCGGGGACAGGAAAAACAAAGACUGUUGGUUUUUUAUUGCAUUGCCUGCUUAAUAUGAAAUGUAGGACACUUACAUGUGCUCCCACAAAUGUUGCAGUAUUGGAAGUAACAGAGAGGCUCAUACAAAGAGUUGUGGAGUCAGCUAAGUAUGAUACUUAUGGUCUCGGUGACAUUGUUUUGUUUGGAAAUGGGGAGCGAAUGAAGAUUGAAGAACGCAAUGAGCUUCAUGAUGUGUUUCUUGAUAACCGUGUUGCCAUACUUGAUCAUUGUUUUGCUUCAGAAAGUGGUUGGAGAAAUAGUUUGCUUUCUAUGAUUUCUUUGCUUGAGGACCCUCAAGGAAAGUACCAAUUGUACUUGAAAGAAACUGAAGUAAUAGACUUGAAUGAGGACGAUGAUGACGACGAGGCGAUACAAAAUCAGGACUCGAAGAAUCAAGAGAAGAAAAAUAAGAAACCAUUGAAGCAGGUUAUACUAGAAGCCUUGAAAGAAAACAAGAAGAAUCAGAAAAAGACGAAGGACAGGAAAGAAGAAAAAGAAUCAAAGCAGGAGGAGGAGAGGAAGGGAAAGAAUGAUCUUACUAAAAAGAAGGCGAAUCUCGGAGACAAAACACAUGUUAGUCCUUUGAGUUUUGAGGAGUUUUUUAAAAAGAGAUUUUCUUACAUUGCAGAAAGAUUAUAUUUUUGUAUCGAGAGUUUGAUUACACACCUUCCAACCUCUCUGAUUUCAUUAGAAGUUGUGAGGAGGAUGUUAGAAGCUGUUGAUAAUCUCAAGUCCUUACAAAAGUUGCUGUUUGGAGUUGCAAGCGGAGCAUUAGGAAAAUGUUUUAACAAAGAUGAAAUGAGUGGGAGUGCUAGCUCUGCAAGUUUAAAUGCUGCAAGAAGAAAAAGCUUUUUUCUACUAAAACUACUCCCUUCAACUUUUCCUGUGCCUCACUCUACUAAUGGCAGUUCUGAUAUGAAGGAGAUUAUAGAAUUUUGCUUGGAAAAUGCAUGCCUGAUUUUCUGUACUGUCUCAAGCUCAGCUAAACUACACAAGAAAGAAAUGGUUCCUUUAGAAGUAUUGAUUAUAGAUGAGGCUGCUCAGUUAAAAGAAUGUGAAUCAACAAUUCCUUUACAACUUCCUGGAACUCGUCAUGCCAUACUCAUAGGCGAUGAGCGGCAAUUACCUGCAAUGGUUCAAAGCAAGGUCUCAGAGAAUGCCAAUUUCGGAAGAAGCUUGUUUGAGAGAUUGGCUUUACUUGGCCACAAGAAACACCUUCUCAAUGUCCAACACAGGAUGCACCCUUCAAUCAGUUCAUUUCCAAAUAAACAGUUUUAUAGCAAUAAGAUUUCUGAUGGACAGAAUGUUACACAAAGGAGUUACAGCCAAAGUUUCAUGCAAGGAAAGAUGUAUGGCUCCUACUCUUUCAUAAAUGUGCCAUAUGGAAAAGAGACAUCUGAUAACAAGCAUAGCAGCAAGAACAUAAUAGAGGCUUUUGUUGUCUCUGAGAUAGUUGCAAAGCUUUAUGAAGAAGUUAAAAAUACAAAGAAAAAUGUUAGAGUAGGAGUGAUAUCACCAUACAAGGCACAAGUUUAUGCAAUAAGUGAGAUAAUUGGAAAGAAAUACAGUUCAGAUGCUCAAAGUGAUUUCUCUGUGAGUGUUCGAUCGGUUGAUGGAUUUCAAGGAGGCGAAGAAGAUGUUAUUAUCAUCUCAACCGUCCGGAGCAAUGGCAAAGGAUCAGUGGGGUUCCUUUCCAAUUGUCAAAGAGCAAAUGUGGCAUUAACUCGUGCAAGGCAUUGCCUUUGGAUUGUGGGCAAUGGAGAAACUUUAUGUAAUAGUGGAUGUGUUUGGAAGAAACUAGUCAUGGACGCCAAGGAGCGUAGGUGUUUUCAUAAUGCCAAUGAGGACAAGAAUUUGGCUGUGGCUAUCACUGCUGCCUUGGUUCAGCUUAAACAAAUCCAGCUUUUACCAAAUCUAGAUUCACUUCUGUUUAGAGAGGCAAAAUGGAAGGUUUGCUUCAAUAAUGAUUUCUGGACUUCAAUGGCGAGAGUUAAAGAUUACGAGUGUUGCAAGGAAAUACUUUCUUUAUUGGUGAAGCUUUCAUGUGGCUGGCGUAAUGGAGCUUCAUCUCAAUUAGUAGAGUGUUACAAGGUUAAGCAAAUGUCUAUUGUUUGGACUGUAGAUCUUCUCCUGGAAAAUUCACAUCACAUUCAGAUUUUGAAGGUUUGGAAUGUUUUGGCUCAAUCUGAGGUACCAAAGCUAUCAAAACACCUCGAUUCAAUGUAUGGAAAUUAUUUGCCUGAUAAAUUGAGUCGAUGCAAGUUCAAACAUAAAGAGAGGAAUUUGGUUGUUCCAAUGAAAUGGCCUGUGGAUUCAAGUUCCAUUUCAGCAGAUUCUACUGACUUGUUAUUAAACUCACUGGCCUCACUCACUCUAAAGGAUGAACCAGAAACAUCAUCUUCAAAAAAAAAUAGGUCAGUGCUGGUUUCUAAAGUUCCAUCAGACCUUGUCAAAUCUUCCAAUGUAUUAGAAUGAACUAACAAAUGAGAAUGGUCAAAAAAGAGAUUCAGAAGGAUCUCAAAGUCCUAAAAGAGAAGUUUCGGUCUUACAACUAAUUCACCAAGGAUGGAAGUUUGCACAGAGGUGAUUUAAGGUGAACCGGGUUAGGAUCUUGGGAGAGAUUUUACUUGGAUUGUAGACAAGGAUAAGGGGUGUAUAUUAUACAAGCAAACAUAUCAUCCUAAUGAUUAUUUGUUCUGUCACCCAUUACUGGCCUUAAAUUGUAUAUAAUAGUUGUGUUCUUAAAAAUGUUUCUUCUAGUUGAUCUAUGGACCAAAUGAAACAUCAAUGUACAAAAAAGAAAAAGAAGAAGUUAAAUAGUCUUUUAGUAUAUUCAAAUUUGAAAAUCCUAUUUAUAUAAAAAAAAACUUCUUCCCCAUUUUGAAUGCAGAAAUUAGCUAGCUAUCUUCUGGAAA